rnacentral:rRNA from 1 species
AGGAUAAACGCUGGCGGCGUGCCUAACACAUGCAAGUCGAACGCGCUUUCGGGCUUCGGUGCGAGAGCGAGUGGCGGACGGGUGAGUAACACAUGGGUACCUACCUUGGAGUGAGGGAUACCGGCGAGAAAUCGCCGACAAUACCGCAUAGGCUUCUUCACAAGGGAAGCAAAGUGACGCGAGUCACGCUUUGAGAUGGGCCUGUGGCCGAUUAGCUAGUUGGGGGGGUAACGGCUUCCCAAGGCGACGAUCGGUAGCUGGUCUGAGAGGACGAUCAGCCACACUGGGAUUGAGAACGGCCCAGACUCCUACGGGGGGCAGCAGUGAGGAAUUUUCGUCAAUGGGGGCAACCCUGAACGAGCAACGCCGCGUGCAGGAAGAAGGUUUUCGGAUCGUAAACUGCUUUUCUCGGGGAAGAGAACGGACGGUACCCGAGGAAUCAGCCCCGGCUAACUACGCGCCAGCAGCCGC